rnacentral:circRNA from 1 species
GCUAACUAUAUGUCAGAAAGCAUCAGCUUUUCUCGAUGGACCCAUUCAUCUAAUGAAAUAUGCCUGUACUAUUUUAAAAAGCUUUGUAUUUCGUCAUAGAAAAGUUCAUCCCCCCAGAAUGAAAAUGAGGACAUUUGAGAAGGUGAUUUAAGGUGUGGACAUUUGAGAAGGUGUCCUAUCAAAUUAGUAAACCAAAGGAAAAGUACUGAAUAGAUUAAUCCAAAACACUUACUGUUUUUUAAACGAAGAGGAUUUCACCUUGACAGAAAAACAACUUUUAUUCAAUAUGUAUUUCCUGAAAUUAAAGAGACAAGUACAGACUGAAAGGAAAAUAGAUUCGUAAAUAAGCUACGUCAACUCUAUCCUGCUGAGGAUAGCUCAGUGAUGUUAAAUCCUUUACAAAUCCCUGGUUGUCUUCCUACAGACAAGACUGCUUUUUGAUGGGACUGAUAUUAAGAGAAAUAGGACCUUUGGGGCAUUCAACUCCUUGAUAAAACUUAAAAGUAUCGGCAUGAGUGGCUUAACAGAGGAAAUAAAGAAGUUUUCAACUAAAUCCAAAAGUGCGGUCAUUUUCUUUACUGCUGUUAUUUUAAAAACCUCUUCAUAACCAUUGAAAAAGAAUCGACAACUAUUUUAAAAGAUUAAAGAAAGGCAGAUGUCUGCAAAUAAUUCCCCUCCAUCAGCCCAGAAGUCUGUAUUACCCACAGCUAUUCCUGCUGUGCUUCCAGCUGCUUCUCCGUGUUCAAGUCCUAAGACGGGACUCUCUGCCCGACUCUCUAAUGGAAGCUUCAGUGCACCAUCACUCACCAACUCCAGAGGCUCAGUGCAUACAGUUUCAUUUCUACUGCAAAUUGGCCUCACACGGGAGAGUGUUACCAUUGAAGCCCAGGAACUGUCUUUAUCUGCUGUCAAGGAUCUUGUGUGCUCCAUAGUUUAUCAAAAG